rnacentral:rRNA from 1 species
AACGUAGGUGGCGAGCGUUGUUCGGAAUUACUGGGCGUAAAGGGCGCGUAGGCGGGAUGGCAAGUCGGUCGUGAAAUCCCUCGGCUCAACCGAGGAACGUCGAUCGAUACUGCUGUUCUUGAGGAUUGCAGAGGAGACUGGAAUUCCCGGUGUAGCGGUGAAAUGUGUAGAGAUCGGGAGGAACACCGGUGGCGAAGGCGGGUCUCUGGGCAAUUCCUGACGCUGAGGCGCGAAAGCGUGGGGAGCAAACGGG